rnacentral:rRNA from 1 species
GACGAACGCUGGCGGCGUGCCUAAUACAUGCAAGUAGAACGCUGAAGGAGGAGCUUGCUCUUCUGGAUGAGUUGCGAACGGGUGAGUAACGCGUAGGUAACCUGCCUGGUAGCGGGGGAUAACUAUUGGAAACGAUAGCUAAUACCGCAUAACAGUAGAUGUUGCAUGACAUUUACUAAAAAGGUGCAAUUGCAUCACUACCAGAUGGACCUGCGUUGUAUUAGCUAGUUGGUGGGGUAACGGCUCACCAAGGCGACGAUACAUAGCCGACCUGAGAGGGGGAUCGGCCACACUGGGACUGAGACACGGCCCAGACUCCUACGGGAGGCAGCAGUAGGGAAUCUUCGGCAAUGGACGGAAGUCUGACCGAGCAACGCCGCGUGAGGGAAGAAGGUUUUCGGAUCGUAAAGCUCUGUUGUAAGAGAAGAACGAGUGUGAGAGUGGAAAGUUCACACUGUGACGGUAUCUUACCAGAAAGGGACGGCUAACUACGUG